AUCAUUCUCACUAGUAGUGUGGAAGCGUCUCAUCUGAUCUUGGAAGCUAAGCAGGGUCAGGCCUGGUUAGUACAUGGAUGAAACAUUACCUUCUUAAGAGGAAGGUGCACAUGAAAAGGACCCAGGGGAGAGUAGUU
rnacentral:rRNA from 1 species